rnacentral:rRNA from 1 species
UACGGGGGGGGCAAGCGUUGUUCGGAAUUACUGGGCGUAAAGGGCGCGUAGGCGGUCAUACUAAGUCAGGUGUAAAAUUUCUGGGCUUAACCCAGAAAGGUCAUUUGAUACUGGUAGACUAGAGUGUGGAAGGGGUUACUGGAAUUCCUGGUGUAGCGGUGAAAUGCGUAGAUAUCAGGAGGAACACCGGAGGCGAAGGCGGGUAACUGGGCCAACACUGACGCUGAGGCGCGAAAGCUAGGGGAGCAAACAGG